rnacentral:rRNA from 1 species
UACGGGGGGGGCAAGCGUUGUUCGGAAUUACUGGGCGUAAAGGGCUCGUAGGCGGCCAACUAAGUCAUACGUGAAAUCCCUCGGCCUAACCGGGGAACUGCGUCUGAUACUGGAUGGCUUGAGAUUGGGAGAGGGAUGCGGAAUUCCAGGUGUAGCGGUGAAAUGACGUAGAUAUCUGGAGGAACACCGGUGGCGAAGGCGGCAUCCUGGACCAAUAUUGACGCUGAGGAGCGAAAGCUAGGGGAGCAAACGGG